rnacentral:rRNA from 1 species
UGCCCAUGUUUUUCAGUGGCCGCGGUAUUUUAACCGUGCAAAGGUAGCAUAAUCACUUGUCUUUUAAUUGGAGGCUAGAAUGAACGGUUGGACGAGAUAUAUACUUUCUUUAUUUUAAAAAAAUGAAUUUAAUUUUUGAGUUAAAAAGCUCAAAUUUUAUUAUAGGACGAGAAGACCCUAUAGAACUUUAUUUUUAUGUAUAAGUUUUUAACUUUGAUAAUUAUUUAAUUAUUUAUAUUUAGAAAUUUUGUUGGGGUGACAGGAAAAUAUUUUUAACUUUUCUUUUUUUAUUCAUAAAUUAAUGUAUUUUUGAUCCAAUAUUUUUGAUUAUAAGAUUAAGUUACCUUAGGGAUAACAGCGUAAUUCUUUUGGAGAGUUCUUAUCGAUAAAGGAGUUUGCGACCUCGAUGUUGAAUUAAGAUUAGUAAUGGGUGCAGAAUUUCAUUUACUAGGUC